ACCACAUAUAUUCAACCAUCAACUAACUUAUUAAUCAAACCAAUUCAUAUAACCUAAUACCAUACAUAUAUACACCAUGAAAUAUACUUCCAAAUUAAAUUUAAGCCAUAGUCACAUACACACAAACUUUAACAUUUUAAUCAAGCCAUUUUCGGAUGGCUCUCAAUAAAUACAUACUUCAAAAUCAACAUAAUAACUAGCCUAUACAUGCCAUAGGUUCAAGUUCAAACUUAUAAAAUACCACAAAGGUGAUUGAUAGUGUGAUGGAUUUCUCUGACGAUCCCUGAGCUCAUAACUAGCUUCCAAAAUCUAUAAAAACAAAGAACAUACACACACAGAGUAAGCUUGAAUAGCUUAGUAAGUCAUAAGCAAAUAAAUCAUUUCAAUGACAUUUAUAAUUCAAUAUAAUUAAACCAAAUCAUACCAAUCAUAAGUACAUAUAUAAUUAUCAAGCUUGCAACCUCAUAUAUCAAUACAUAUACUCUAGCAUUAUUUUUACCACUUGGCUGAAUACAUAUAUAUUCAUAAGCAUAUUUAACUUACAUUUUCAUGAUGCACAUUUCAUAUAUCCAUAUAAAGUAUAUACUUACCUUACUACUCAAUCAUUUAACUUAAUAUAUACCUAAUCAUUUUAGCUCGAUUUCACAUUCGAUCUUAACUCAAUAUUUCCCGUUGAACCAUUCGGAAUUAAUAAGGACACUCGAAUAGUCGAAAAGCUCGUAUAACGCCAACGUCCCAGACGUGGUCUUACAUGUAAUCACAUAUCGGUGCCACUGUCCCAGACAAGGUCUUACAUGAACUUAUAUACGAUGUCGAUGUCCCAGACAUGGUCUUACACGUAAAUCACAUAUCAGAAUCCUAUUUCAUGACAUAUGUAUCCUAACUAUUCCUAAGGUUCGUACAGGGCUUUCAGAUGUCGUAAUUUAGAUCGAUUCAUGCUCGUAAUAAAUCAUUCCAUGCUAAAUUCAAUUCGGAAAUAUAGUUAUACAUACAUACAAUUCAAUUCGGCUAUGUAUAUAGUAAAUACAUUCAAUUUAACAUCAUUUAUUCACUUAUGAACUUACCUCGUACGAAGACGAAUAGACCGGGUCGACUAUUCAACAACUUUAGAUUUACCCCGAUCCAAAUCCAAUUUUCUCUUUUCUUGAUCUAAAUUAAUAUAAAUUAAACUUAUUUAAUCAAAUAUUCAAUCAAAUUCAUCCAAAAACACAUAAAUGGGUAAAUUACACUUUUUCCCCUGACAUUUCACAUUUUUUGCAAUUUAGUCCCUAUUUCAUAAAACACAAAAUAUUCAAAAUUUGAAUACACCCAUGUUAGGCCGAAUUUAUCCCUAGUCCAUACAAGCCCAUAUGUUUCAUUUAUUUCAUAUUUUGAUCCCUCAAUUUACAAAAUUCACAAUUUAGUCCUAAAUAGACAUUUUUAUUAAAAAUCACUUAAUUAAACUUGACAAUCUAACAACAUAUAUUUAUUUUUCAUCAUCAAACACAAAAAUCAUUAAGCUAUCAACAAUGACAAUUCAUGAAUACAUCAUCAAAUUCAAAAAUUCAAGCAUGGGCUAGCUAGUACUUGAAGCAACGAUCUUAAAAAUGUAAAAAUUAUUAAAAACCGAACAAAAACUAACCUUGAAUCAAGCUUGAACAAGACCGAAUAUUUGAAAGCUUAAAACCCCUUUUUCUUUGUCAAGUUUCAGCCAACAAGAUGAACAAAAUUCAUGGCUUUUUAAUUUAU
rnacentral:lncRNA from 1 species